AAAAACGGUGUUUUUUUAUCGCUAACACACCGGAUCCCAUUAGAACUCUGCAGUUAAGCAUGCUCAGGCUAGAGUAGUACUGGGAUUGGUGACCACCCAGGAAGUCCUACUAUUUUAC
rnacentral:rRNA from 1 species